GACGAACGCUGGCGGCGUGCUUAACACAUGCAAGUCGAACGGAAAGGCCCUGCUUUUGUGGGGUGCUCGAGUGGCGAACGGGUGAGUAACACGUGAGUAACCUGCCCUUGACUUUGGGAUAACUUCAGGAAACUGGGGCUAAUACCGGAUAGGAGCUCCUGCUGCAUGGUGGGGGUUGGAAAGUUUCGGCGGUUGGGGAUGGACUCGCGGCUUAUCAGCUUGUUGGUGGGGUAGUGGCUUACCAAGGCUUUGACGGGUAGCCGGCCUGAGAGGGUGACCGGCCACAUUGGGACUGAGAUACGGCCCAGACUCCUAUGGGAGGCAGCAGUGGGGAAUAUUGCACAAUGGGGGGAAGCCUGAUGCAGCAACGCCGCGUGCGGGAUGACGGCCUUCGGGUUGUAAACCGCUUUCGCCUGUGACGAAGCGUGAGUGACGGUAAUGGGUAAAGAAGCACCGGCUAACUACGUG
rnacentral:rRNA from 1 species